rnacentral:rRNA from 1 species
CCUACGUGUGGCAGCAGUGAGGAAUAUUGGUCAAUGGACGCAAGUCUGAACCAGCCAAGCCGCGUGCAGGAAGACGGUUCUAUGAGUUGUAAACUUCUUUUGUCCGGGGGUAAACCCCGAUACGUGUAGCGGGUUGAAAGUACCGUAAGAAAAAGCAUCGGCUAACUCCGUGCCAGCAGCCGCGGUAAUACGGAGGAUCCGAGCGUUAUCCGGAUUUAUUGGGUUUAAAGGGUGCGCAGGCGGAUUUUUAAGUCAGCGGUCAAAUCGUGGGGCUCAACCCCAUCCAGCCGUUGAAACUGGGGAUCUAGAGUGGGCGAGAGGUAUGCGGAAUGCGUGGUGUAGCGGUGAAAUGCAUAGAUAUCACGCAGAACCCCGAUUGCGAAGGCAGCAUACCGGUGCACAACUGACGCUCAGGCACGAAAGCGUGGGUAUCGAACAGGAUUAGAUACCCGAGUAGUC